rnacentral:rRNA from 1 species
GACGAACCGUGCGAACGUUAUUCGGAAUCACUGGGCUUAAAGCGCAGGUAGGCGGCUUGAUAAGUCUUUUGUGAAAGCUCCUGGCUUAACUGGGAGAGGUCAAAGGAAACUGUCAGGCUAGAGUUUGGUAGGGGAUACUGGAAUUCCUGGUGUAGCGGUGAAAUGCGUAGAUAUCAGGAGGAAUACCUAUGGCGAAAGCAGGUAUCUGGGCCACAACUGACGCUGAGCUGCGAAAGCUAGGGGAGCAAACAGG